rnacentral:pre_miRNA from 2 species
UCCGGCAAUACGCUAUGGCAGUGUGGUUAGCUGGUUGUGUAGCGCUUUGGUGGGCUUUGCGCGUCUUCGCGCCGAGGUCCAGAUUCACAACCACUAUCCGCCCUGCCGCCGCGAAGUGCCCUGU